rnacentral:rRNA from 1 species
UAACCCGGCGAAAGUCGGACUAAUACCGUAUGAUAUCCUAUGCAGGCAUCUAACUAGGAUUAAAGGUUUAGCGGUAAGGGAUGGGGAUGCGUCUGAUUAGGCAGUUGGCGGGGUAACGGCCCACCAAACCGACGAUCAGUAGGGGUUCUGAGAGGAAGGUCCCCCACAUUGGAACUGAGACACGGUCCAAACUCCUACGGGAGGCAGCAGAG